rnacentral:rRNA from 1 species
UACAGAGGGGGCAAGCGUUAUUCGGAAUUAUUGGGCGUAAAGGGCGCGUAGGCGGUCUGACAAGUGGAAGGUGAAAUCCCCGCGCUUAACGUGGGAACUGCCUUCCAAACUGUUUGACUUGAAUCCGGGAGAGGUGAGUGGAAUUCCCAGUGUAGCGGUGAAAUGCGUAGAUAUUGGGAGGAACACCAGUGGCGAAGGCGGCUCACUGGACCGGAACUGACGCUGAGGCGCGAAAGCGUGGGGAGCAAACAGG